AUUUGGAACUCUGUAUGUCAUUUUUACCUUCAAUUCAUCUGUUUUCGGGAAGUUUUGCUCAUCUCACACAACGCUAAACUUUAAGUGAGUCAGAGUCCUUCCUGUUCCAAGUCACAAUGAGCUGGAGCUUCUUAACUAGCCUCUUAGAAGAAAUUCACAACCAUUCGACAUAUUUGGGAAAAAUUUGGCUCAUGGUCCUUGUGGUUUUUCGGAUCGUUCUCACUGCCGUGGGUGGCGAGUCCAUCUAUUCUAAUGAACAGAGCAGCUUUGUGUGUAACACACUCCAGCUGGGCUGCAAGAAUCUAUGCAAUGAACAAGAUUCCCCGUUUGGAAGAAGGCAAAGAGGGCACUUCAGUGAAAUUUUCCGAGAGUAGAAAGUUUCCCCUGGGCAGACGUCAGACAGACAAGCAGUGAGGGAGCAACCAUGGCAGCGAAAUGGCUGAGUGGAAGCUGUCUGUUUGGAUUUAAGAUGCAAACCAAUAAGAUCUGCUCCAAAACCAAAAGUGAACUUUUAUCAAUACUGCCAAGAUUUUCUUUUUCUGGAGACACAGGAGAGGCCAUCUGUGUUAGACACACUUUUAGUAUUUUUUUUGCUACACAGACAGAGCACAGAUAAUUUUUGUUUUUGUUUUUUUUUUUGUUUUUAUGGCAGCAAUAGAUUGAAAAUGUUCCUUCAGCUAAGCUUUUUGGAUCCACUUUAUAGUGGAUGAAUUAAAAUGGAAAAAAAAACUUUUUUUUUUUUGUUUUGUUAGCUGUAUUUAUUCUGUUAGCUCAGAAUAAUUACAACAUUCACACAGUGCUAGCAUUAGGGCUGCUGGCAUAAGGACUGGUAUUGAUUAUUUCAGCCAACAUUUAAAGGAAUAUGCCAAGGGCCGAGAGUUUUUGGAUAUCAGACCUGAAAUAGUUUUCCUUUAAACAUUGAGCUUAUCUAGAGCACAAUCAUAGGAAUAUUCGAAAAGGAACUGAACUGAGGUAACAGUUAGUGUCUGAUUCUCAUUGAGGAUAGUGUUGUUUUGCUGAUGAACUGCACUUUGGGUAAAAGUUAAAGCAUUUCCUGGUUGUUUUCUUACUCGUUGUUAUUUUUGUAUUUUUUUUUAUAAAUAAUAUAAAGUGAGUAAGAUUCUCAAGAGAGAAUCGACUUAUCAGCAUUACCCAAAGUGCAUUGUUGCAGUUUGCGUUUCAAGAUGGAUGAUUAAUCUAAAUUUCACAUGUUAACAGUAGCAAUAAAAUACUUUAUUUCCUACAUAUAAAGGUUUUUGUUUCCUCUAACAUGAAAUUUCAGUUUACAGCAGGCUCAUGAAUAUAAAUUUGUGAUUUAACAUGCUCUGAAAAGAUGAGGUUGUUUUAUUACAACAUAAUCAUUGUUUUUUAGUUUUCUCACAACAAUAGCAAGUUAAACAUGUGGCAAAUUAACCAGCAAACUUGGUCCUAAAUUGUGUUCUGUGGUAAAUUGUGUUCUUGUGUUCUUCAUACAGCCACCGAUGGUGAGACAGCAACUCAUGCAGUAAUGUUGGUAAAAACAGGGCACUUCAGCACCAUUGGUGUGGGUGUGGGGCAGGGCUGCAGCAACAGCAGCAGGCCAAUCAGAGCCUGCAAAGUGAAGACAUGACACAAAUAAUGGAUAUCUUCAAUAAAUUAUGUAAAACAUGAAUAAAUGUGUUUUAUAGCUUA